AAUCAUAGGCAAAUAAAUGAAUUGUAAAUGUUAAAUGGAUGGCGUGAAUGUUAGAUAGCAGCAUUGUUAAACAGACAUGAACAAUUGUAAAAAUUUAGGAUUGGGUCAUUUAUUCUCUCCCAGUCUUCAUUUUUUAAAACAGAAGUACUUGUUUCCAGUUUUUACUCAGGAAUGAUGAUUUUUUUUUAUCAAAAGCACAGGUAUUAUCUGCAAGACACAUACUAAUGGCAGUCAACAAGCAUAUAUUGAAUCAAUUACCCAAUUUGCCCAGCAUACUUCAGAUAAAGUGUUAGCAAAUAUGUGUGGACAUUGUAUGCUGCUGUGUUUGCAAACGUGUAUUAUGUUUUGCUUCAGUACAAUUCGUAAGAAUAAGUAUUUCCCCCUAUCCGGUACACAGUGUCAACAAUGUAGUGUAAUUAUGUAUACGUAACUCUUUUACAUUUAUACAUGUAUCGACUAAUGUUUCAUCAGGACUAAAAAUAAAAUUCAUGUUAAAUCUAU
rnacentral:misc_RNA from 1 species